CGAUAAGUUGCAUAUUGUUUUUAAAUGUGUGCAUGCUCAUCUCCUCUUCCGACAAAUAUGUGAUUGCUACGUACAUUUUUGCACUUUUAAUUUCAUGAUAUAUAGCCAUUGUUUCCUCAUUAUCGUAGUUCAACUGUCUAACCACAUCAGAACCCAAAGUAUACGCUUGUUGUUCUCUGUGUUUAAACCAUUUGUAAUUGUAAACUAACACUGUAUAGCCUCAAAACAUGGUUUAAAGUAUAAUUGUAUAUAAUAGAUGUUCCGUCCUUGCAUAGUCAGUUCUGUCUAUGAAUUUUGUUCAGCCCCAUCCCGCAGUUGUUUAUCGAAACAGUGGCGGGGCAAAUUCGUUGUUAUUGUUUGGACUGCAGAUUGCCCUUCAAAUGGGAUUCGGUAAUUGAGAGUCGCAAGAACGCCACAGAAAGAACACACGUUUUUAUUUUUCUACCUUCGCGCCACAUGACAUGCGUGUUGGAGUCUGAGACAGUUUUAUAAUAGUUUGGUGAAAUGGUAUCUUUGAGAGCUGACAGGGGGAUAACCUCACCUGUAACCAUGCGACCACUGUGGCCCCUCGAUGGUUGUGGUUUGUGUUGUACGGAAUUGAAGCGUGACAGAAAUCCUCAACUUCUACCAUGCCUACAUUCUGUGUGUCAGGGGUGUGUUCCCCUAAGUGAUUUCAAGACAGAAUGUCUGGUCUGUGGAAGGCAAUACACUUCUUCCGAAAUCAUUGACAAUCCUUUCCUCCCUAGCUUCCCCACUGAUUCAAAACCCUGGUGUGGGGGUUGUGAUGAGUCUGUGGCUGGUGUGUAGAAUGUGGCGAACCGCUCUGCUCUGACUGUGUGGCAGCCCACAAGAGGGUGAAGUUAACACGCAUCCAUAAUGUCCUACCCCAAUUAACUCCAGGUACCAAUUUGCCCAGGACGCUUUACCAGAGCGAGACUGUGAGGAUGCAGAGAGGGACUGUGCAACAGAACCUACAGGACCUGGAUGGACGGCUGUCUGACUUGGAGGAUCUGCAGGAGAGUGUGAGAACAGAGGUCAAGGAUAUCCUCAAGGGCAUCUGGAGUGUCCUGGUGAAGAGGGCCAUGCAGCUUUCCAAGGAAAUGCAGGAUCACUGUUGGAAGGAGAGUGAGUGUGUCACAGAGAGACAGGCCCAUCUUAGGAAGCUGGGGGAGAGGCAGAAAUAUGUGCUGGCCUUCACGGAGAAAGCCCUGAAGAGUGAGGAUCACACCUCGCUGCUAUCCUGCAAAAGAUGGGUAGAUAAAAAGUCCAAUCUAAGAUCAAAGAUCCACUCUGAGCUGCAAGGUGUUCUAGGCAAAAAAAAACAGUGCAGUGUCUACAAUGAAGGAGCUGAAGCUCCAUUGUGGCCAGGACAUCCACCCAACCCUUGGAUGUUUUGGGGAAAUUGUGACUAAGGAGGUCCCGUUUGCUCGGCUAAAUCUGAGAGACUCAAAUCAAUCUUCUCUGGAACAGCAGAGAAAUGGCAGAGCAUCCUCAACAUUGUCACCUUCAUCCCAGGAAACCUCCAGUAUGUCAGUGGGAAAUGCUCCCCUCUCCCAAUGUCAACCAACACUAAUGCGCUUGCUUUCCUGCCCCCGGUCCUCCCCCUAUCCCCAUGAACCAGAGAGACUGUCAUUUUACCACUUUUCCCCUGACUCUCGCGGACCCUCUUUACAGGCACUAUCCUCUUCCCGCUCUGACAGCCCUCUGUCCUUGUCCUCUACGUCUGCUGUGAAUGCAACAGGUCCCCAGCGAUGUGCUGUAAACACGGAAAACAAAGACUGCUCGUCAUUAUCAGGGAUUGCACUGGACACCCCUGUCACAUAUCACGGGUAUCAGGGUGACUCCUCAAAGUCUGACCUGAUGGUGGAACUUGUUUCCCGGGCCUUUCAUGUCAAAAGGAAAGCAGGGGAUGAAAAUGUGGGUCCUCAAAUUAAACAAAGUUGUUUGCAGCCCUUGAAGGUACCAGCGGACUCCUCCUGUGAGAGGGUUCCCCCUAUAGGUACUGAAAAGCAGGCUGGGGAUGUGGCUGCUACCGUUGUCAUAGAAAGAGAAGCUACACCCAACAUUACGGACCAGAAUGCAAUGGCUCCAGUGUGUGGACAAGAAGCUACUAAGGCUUCAGGCAGCCGUCAAUCAAAUCUGGUUGUUGGCAGGAAUGUGAAGACGGCCAAUCAGGUGGUUUUAGCUCCCUUCACACUCCCUGUCACCGGGAACUCCGUCACUUGGGGCAUGUCACCAGCUAAUGCCACUCUUUUUCCUGGUACUGUGAACACUCCCCCCAGCUUUGGAUGUGUAAGGGCUGUCCCCCCAUACUUGGUUUUGUCCAACAGUGCUCCAGUUUCUGGUCCCACUGGCACUGUGGGCAGGCUUGACAAUGGAAGCCUGGUCUUCAUUUGUAAUGACGUGCCCUUUUUCAACAUCUUGAGCCAUGUUAGAGGAGGUCAACCAAGUGCUAGCUGGUUCUGUCCCAGGAGGACUCUGCCCACCAUGUCUGCCAGACCCCACCUCUCCAAAGAGCCUUAUGGAAGCUCCUCAGUCCCAGUCCACUGGUCCAAUAUAUCCAAUCAGAAUUUUUCAACGGGUAAAGAAUAUUUCAACAGUCCAGGACACCAAGCAGCCCACCCAGAAUGGCACUGCUCAGUCAGGAUUGUGCAGAAAGGAUGAAGCCGCCUCUACUCUCCUCGUACACACCGCUAAUGCCCAGGCAGACUCUGUACAAAUGGACAUUUCCAAGUCAGACGUUGACCUCAUCCAGGCAGACCCAAAUCCAACAGUCUUUGUCAUGGAAGAAUCCACAGAGAUAGACAUUGUCCAUAAUAAAACUGCCCAGCCAGACUUUGUCCAGAAUGAGACCAGCCAGGCUGAACUUGUCCAGACUGCAUCUGACCAGACAGUACUUUUCCAGAAUAAAACUGCCCAGAUGGUAAUUGUUCCUUCUCAAGUAGUUGGAAUCAAGGAGGAACCAACAUUACGGCCAGUUACAGGCCCAAUGGAGUCUGUGACGACAGACAUGCCUAAACCUGCACAAACUGUGCCUGUCCAAAUUAACCUUGUGCAUUCUAACACUGUCCAAAGCGACAUUGUGCAUACUGAAACUGACCAGACCUACUUUAUCAAUGUAAGCACACAAGUAUCUGGGAUUACAAUCAAGGAAGAACCGCCAGCCACAGACAGCUUAUCAGUUACAGGGCUAAUUGAACCCGAGUGAUUUAUGCCUGACACACUACCUACUGAAACUGUCCAGACUGACCCUGUCCACACACAAAUGGUUAAUGUGACUGAAAUUGUGCAAAGGGAUGUUUUCCAGCCUGAAACGGUGCAGACGGACUCUGCCAGGGCAGAAACCCUGCAGAAUGAAAUUGUCCAGUCAAACUUCAAUGAGACUGAAACCGUGCAGACAGACCCUGUCCUGACUGAAACAGUUAUGCAGUCCAGAUAGACACUUUGCAGAUGGAACCAGUCCACAGUGAAACUGUCCUUACCGGCAUUGUGCAGACUGCGACUCUGCAGAGGGACCUAGCCCUAACUGACUGCACAGAGAUAAUUCAGACAGACAUGUCAGCCACCAAUGAGGUAUCCACAAAUGACACUGUCAAUGUGGUCAGUGUCCCCAGCUGCACUCAGGAAGUUGAACUUGACCUCACCCUUGACCUCAGCAAUGAUUUCUGCUCUCCGAUAGUGGAGGAAGAUGACAAUAUGGCUGAUGUUGAUGUCAGUGCUGCUGACAGUAUUGAAGAGACUGGGUGCCAGGCGUCUGUUAGGCUUAAUAGCAGAUUUCCCCAGGUGUCUUUGCUUUGGAUGCCCCUCCUUGACGCCCAUGUUAGCGUCCCGCCAACCCGCUUCCGCCUCCUCCCAGGGGUCAAAGGGCAGCAAAACUGUCGUUCAGGUGAUCCAGACGGACGCGCCGCAACCAGAGUCUCAUGUCAGGGAAUCUCAUCCUGUGUGUCGUGUGUGGACGGCGCUUCCACAGGGAGUGUCACGUUCCACCCAUCUAUUCCUUAUCAACUGAGAGCUGGCAGUGUAUGCUGUGCCGGGACACCACUGAUCUGCCGUUGCUGCAGGACUACAGCGGGACCAACAGGGGACUGUGUAUGAGCCCUCCUGACCAAAUGCUCUCUUCCCGGUCUUCUCACUACAUUGACAUCACCAUGAUACGGGGACGGUUGCUACGGAAACUGGUCCCCCCUUACUGCACCCCGUCGGAAUUUGUGUCCGAUGUCUGGCUUCUCCUCCACACACUGUUGAAGAGCGUGAAGUCAGUGGACCGACUUCAGGCAUGUUUUGGGAAGGAGCUGGGCAAAACGUUUGAGGGGACCCUGCACCCUUCGCUGCUCGUCAAUCCCCACCAAGGGGAAGCGGAGGAGGCGGAACAAGAGUGGGACAAGGAGAAAGUGACCAUGAGGAAGAAUCCGAGACCUCUCUAGGUAGAGCGUGCAGGCAAAGACAUUUCACGCAGGACGAAAUGAAAGAUAAAGAAUGGGAAAAGAAGCCUGUCUUUUUAUGUAUUGAUUUGAAUUGCUUGCUGAACAUUUCAAGUGUUUUUGUGUGUGUGCAUCUUUAUAUUUCGUAUCUAUUUACAAUAAAAAAAAUUGCAUCUCUUGUGCAUGUCUAAACUCAGUGAAAAUCUUACUGGCCACUAUUCAAACAG